rnacentral:rRNA from 1 species
UAACCUGCCGAAUCGACUAGCCCCGAAAAUGGAUAGCGCUGAAGCGAGUGACCGAUACCGGGCCAUUGUUGCAAGAUAAUUGGCAACAAUGAGUAGGAGGGCGUGGGGGUUGUGAAGAAGCUUGGACGUGAGUCUGAGUGAAACAGCUUCCAGUGCAGAUCUUGGUGGUAGUAGCAAGUAUUCAAUAAGAGAACAUUGAAGGCCGAAGUGGGGAAGGGUUCCAUGUGAACAGCACUUGGACAUGGGUUAGCCGAUCCUGAGAGACAGGUUAAAUUCCAUCGGAUUGGAGCUUUGGCUCUGUUUCUCGAAAGGGAAGCUGGUUAGUAUUCCAGCGCCGAGACGUGGAUAAUAUGUGGCAACACAAGUGAACUCGGACACGCCAUAGGGGACCCCAGGAAGCGUUGUCUUUUCUUUUUAACAGUUCGACUUACCCUGGAAUCAGAUCAUCUGGAGAUAGGGUUUUCGAACUGGCAUAGCACCUUGU